UUUCCAGGCUGCUGUCUCCCUCCUCCUGAAAGACCCCCGAAGGGAGCCCCCCACUCAAGUCUCGGGAAAGACGCGCACCCAGUAGGACACAGACACCA
rnacentral:pre_miRNA from 14 species